ACAGAGGGUGCGAGCGUUAAUCGGAAUUACUGGGCGUAAAGCGCACGUAGGCGGCUUGGUAUGUCGGGUGUGAAAUCCCCGGGCUCAACCUGGGAACUGCAUUCGAAACUGCCUUGCUUGAGUAUGGGAGAGGGAAGUGGAAUUUCCGGUGUAGCGGUGAAAUGCGUAGAUAUCGGGAGGAACACCUGUGGCGAAAGCGGCUCUCUGGACCACAACUGACGCUGAGGCGCGAAAGCUAGGGGAGCAAACAGGA
rnacentral:rRNA from 1 species